AACGAACGCUGGCGGCAUGCCUAACACAUGCAAGUCGAACGAGACCUUCGGGUCUAGUGGCGCACGGGUGCGUAACGCGUGGGAACCUGCCCUUAGGUUCGGAAUAACUCCCCGAAAGGGGUGCUAAUACCGGAUAAUGUCUUCGGACCAAAGAUUUAUCGCCUUUGGAUGGGCCCGCGUUGGAUUAGCUAGUUGGUAGGGUAAAAGCCUACCAAGGCGACGAUCCAUAGCUGGUCUGAGAGGAUGAUCGGCCACACUGGGACUGAGACACGGCCCGGACUCCUACGGGAGGCAGCAGUGGGGAAUAUUGGACAAUGGGCGAAAGCCUGAUCCAGCAAUGCCGCGUGAGUGAUGAAGGCCUUAGGGUUGUAAAGCUCUUUUACCCGGGAUGAUAAUGACAGUACCGGGAGAAUAAGCUCCGGCUAACUCCGUG
rnacentral:rRNA from 1 species